rnacentral:rRNA from 1 species
GAUGAACGCUGACAGAAUGCUUAACACAUGCAAGUCGACUCGAGUCUUCGGACUUGGGUGGCGCACGGGUGAGUAACGCGUAAAGAACUUGCCUCUUAGACCGGGACAACAUCUGGAAACGGAUGCUAAUACCGGAUAUUAUGGUUUUUUCGCAUGGAGGAAUCAUGAAGCUAGAUGCGCUAAGAGAGAGCUUGCGUCCCAUUAGCUGGUUGGUGAGGUAACGGCCCACCAAGGCAAUGAUGGGUAGCCGGCCUGAGAGGGUGAACGGCCACAAGGGGACUGAGACACGGCCCUUACUCCUACGGGAGGCAGCAGUGGGGAAUAUUGGACAAUGGACCACAAGUCUGAUCCAGCAAUUCUGUGUGCACGAUGACGUUUUUCGGAAUGUAAAGUGCUUUCAGUCGGGAAGAAGUCAGUGACGGUACCGACAGAAGAAGCGACGGCUAAAUACGUGCCAGCAGCCGCGGUAAUACGUAUGUCGCAAGCGUUAUCCGGAUUUAUUGGGCGUAAAGCGCGUCUAGGCGGCAAGGAAAGUCUGAUGUGAAAAUGCGGAGCUCAACUCCGUAUGGCGUUGGAAACUGCCUUACUAGAGUACUGGAGAGGUAGGCGGAACUACAAGUGUAGAGGUGAAAUUCGUAGAUAUUUGUAGGAAUGCCGAUGGGGAAGCCAGCCUACUGGACAGAUACUGACGCUAAAGCGCGAAAGCGUGGGUAGCAAACAGG